AUUCUGCUCUCUCUCUUGGCACUUUCUGGGGCUUCCUUAUAUCACUGCAUUCCCCAGGUGUUCAUUAUGUGCAAAGGUUUGAAGUUACUGCAGUCCCUCCUACUUCUUGACAAGCUCGACAAUGUUGAAGGGAUCCUUGAGAAUCUGGAACGUAUCUGUGAGUAAUCUUGGAAACAUUUGGGCAAUCUGUAGAUUCUUCACUUGUUCUCAUUGCUAAGUUACCCCAUUCCAUCUGAUACUUGGACCUGCCACCUCUGUUGGUAUGUUCCGUUGAACUAAGCAAGCUUGUUGAUGUGUUCUGUUGAACUGAGUAAUAGUAUGUUUACUCUCAAAUUUAAAUCUUUUAACCUGAAUCCAGAAUCAGCAGCGUCAUUAGAGUUACUGGCA